GGAGUCUGGCCUGCUCAAUGAUGAGAUUUCAUUAAAUAGCCGCAGUAUCCUGACUGCGUGAAAGUAGCAUAAUAAUUUGCCUUUUAAUUGGUGGCUGGUAUCAACGGUAUGAUGAGAGUGAAGCUGUCUCCUACGUAAUCUUUUGAAAUUACCUAUUAGGUGAAAAGGCCUAAAUAACUUUAUAAGACAAGAAGACCCUGUCAAGCUUAACAUCAGGUAAAACCAAGUUAUAGUUUUUUAUUUUACUUUUGUUGUUCGAUUGGGGCAAUCGGGGAGUCAGAGAAAUCUCUCUUUUUAAUUUUGCCUGUCGAGGCAUGACCCACUAUUAGUGAUCAUAGGAAGAAGUUACUGCAGGGAUAACAGCGUAAUUUUUUUUGUGAGUUCUUAUUUAAAAAAAAGUUUGCGACCUCGAUGUUGGAUUAGGGUAUCCUGAAGGUGUAGAAGCUUUCAAGGGUUGGUUUGUUCAACCAUUAAAACCCUACAUGAUCUGAGUUCAACCG
rnacentral:rRNA from 1 species